rnacentral:rRNA from 1 species
GACGAACGCUGGCGGCGUGCUUAACACAUGCAAGUCGAACGGAAAGGCCCUGCUUUUGUGGGGUGCUCGAGUGGCGAACGGGUGAGUAACACGUGAGUAACCUGCCCUUGACUUUGGGAUAACUUCAGGAAACUGGGGCUAAUACCGGAUAGGAGCUCCUGCUGCAUGGUGGGGGUUGGAAAGUUUCGGCGGUUGGGGAUUGACUCGCGGCUUAUCAGCUUGUUGGUGGGGUAGUGGCUUACCAAGGCUUUGACGGGUAGCCGGCCUGAGAGGGUGACCGGCCACGUUGGGACUGAGAUACGGCCCAGACUCCUACGGGAGGCAGCAGUGGGGAAUAUUGCACAAUGGGCGGAAGACUGAUGCAGCAACGCCGCGUGCGGGAUGACGGCCUUCGGGUUGUAAACCGCUUUCGCCUGUGACGAAGCGUGAGUGACGGUAAUGGGUAAAGAAGCACCGGCUAACUACGUG